GUCCACGCUGUAAACGAUGAUGACUAGGCAUGAGGAAGAAUCGACCCUUUUUCGUGCCGUAGCUAACGCGUUAAGUCAUCCGCCUGGGGAGUACGGUCGCAAGACUAAAACUCAAAGGAAUUGACGGGGAUCCGCACAAGCGGUGGAGCAUGUGGUUUAAUUCGACGAUAAGCGAGGAACCUUACCUAGACUUGACAUUGCACUGCAUAUAUCAGAAAUGGUAUAGCCUUCGAGGGUGUGCAACAGGUGAUGCACGGUUGUCGU
rnacentral:rRNA from 1 species